rnacentral:rRNA from 1 species
UACGAAGGGGGCGAGCGUUGUUCGGAUUUACUGGGCGUAAAGGGCGCGCAGGCGGCUAUCCAAGUCAGGCGUGAAAGCCCCGGGCUUAACCUGGGAGGUGCGUCUGGGACUGGGUGGCUAGAGAUCGGGAGAGGAGAGUGGAAUUCCCAGUGUAGAGGUGAAAUUCGUAGAUAUUGGGAAGAACACCGGUGGCGAAGGCGGCUCUCUGGACCGAUACUGACGCUGAGGCGCGAAAAGCGUGGGGAGCAAACAGGG